GAUGAACGCUGGCGGCGUGCCUAAUACAUGCAAGUCGAGCGAACAGACGAUGCUCUUGCUCCUCUGACGUUAGCGGCGGACGGGUGAGUAACACGUGUAUAACCUACCUAUAAUACUGGGAUAACUUCGGAAAACCGGAGCUAAUACCGGAUAAUAUAUUGAACCGCAUUGUUCAAUAGUGAAAUACGGUUUUGCUGUCACUUAUAGAUGCAUCCGGGCCGCAUUAGCUAGUUGGUAAGGUAACGGCUUACCAAGGCGACGAUGCGUAGCCGACCUGAGAGGGUGAUCGGCCACACUGGAGGUGAAACACGGUCAAUACGCCUAAGGGAGGCAGCAGUAGGGAAUGUGCGGCAACGGGGGAAAGUCUGACGGAGCAACGGGGCGUGAGUGAUGGAGGUCUUCGGAGCGUAAAGCUCUGUUAUUAGGGAAGAACAGAUGUGUAAGUAAAUAUGGACGUCUUGACGGUACCUAAUCAGAAAGCAACGGCUAACUACGUG
rnacentral:rRNA from 1 species